CAUUGAGGUCCCCAACUCCAUAGCCUCGAGAGGCCCCGAGGGCUGAACACUCUUGCUGGCAGGAGGAACUUGGAUCUCCCUCAGAGCAGCAGGGCUGCCUGGCCAAUGGUCAAGCUCCGACACUUCUACCCCCAGUCCCAGAGAAGACCGCCAUAAGCACGGGGGACCAUACAAACGUUCUGUGCUUCCAUAUAUCAAUUCUUGCUCUGGAGGAGGAGAGCCUCUUCCUUCAUGGAUCCUCCAUCAUGGAUUUGAAUGUUCAGAUGACUCAGAAGGGAUUAGUCACUCGGUGCUCCUCCUGGAACAAUAUUGUUGCUACUGAAUACAACAGCUCUUGCUUCUGCUUGUUUCAUGCAA